rnacentral:lncRNA from 1 species
AUAAAAUAUAGGGAGAUGUGGUAUGAUUGCCAUGGCUGAUUGACAAAUUCAAAGAUAGGUAUAUCACAUAAAAUAUAGGAGAUUGGUAUGAUUGCCAUGCUGAUGACAAAUUCAAAGUAUAUCAAUAAAAAUAAUAGAUGUCGGUAUGAUUGCCAUGGCUGAUUGACAAAUUCAAUGAUAGUAUACACAUUAAAUAUAGGGAUGUGGUAUGAUUGCCAGGCUGAUUGACAAAUCAAAGGAUAGGUAUAUCACAUAAAAUAUAGGAGAUGUGGUUAUGAUUGCCAUGCUGAUUGACAAAUUGGAUAUCACAUAAAAUAUAGGAGAUGUGGUAUGAUUGCCAUGGCUGAUGACAAAUUCAAAGAUAGGUAUAUCACAUAAAAAUAGGAGAUGUGGUAUGAUUGCCAUGGAAUUGACAAAUUUCAAAGAUAGGUAUAUCACAUAAAAAUAUGGAUUGUUGAUGAUGCCAUGGGCUGAUUGACAAUUCAAAGAUAGGUAUAUCACAUAAAAUAUAGGGAGAUGUGGUAUGAUUGCCAUGGCUGAUUGACAAAUUCAAAGAUAGGUAUAUCACAUAAAAUAUAGGGAGAUGUGGUAUGAUUGCCAUGGCUGAUUGACAAAUUCAAAGAUAGGUAUAUCACAUAAAAUAUAGGGAGAUGUGGUAUGAUUGCCAUGGCUGGUUGACAAAUUCAAAGAUAGGUUUAUCACAUAAAAUAUAGGAAGAUGUGGUAUGAUUGCCAAUGAGACAACUAUCCACCAAAGUUAAAAGAAGUGGAUUUAAACAAUCAUAGGCAA